CUUCGAUGCCAGAGUGUUUUGUCUUCAGUGGUAACAAGCUCAGCCAACACUAAGUCUAUGCUUUGUUCUUCGUUUCCAAGUAAUUUUGUUUAUGCUCCUUCGUAGGCUGAAAACCUGAACUUUGGAUUUACUUCGCUAAUCACUGACUUCGUGUCCGGAAGUUUCUGGACGAACAAGAUUACCUAUGUACUGAGGACUUCGUCUCCUAGCAACUGUUUCCAUCUGGAUUCAGACCAAGCUGGCAAAUUCCUGCUUCCUCUGUUUCCUGGACCUAGACUUAAGUGUACCCUGUCCACCCUCCAACGCAAGUAUCUGCACAUUAAACUCUCUCCUGAAAUCACCAAGCUCAAACGGCACCAAAGAAAUCAUCUGAACAAUUUCUGUUUCGACAACCUGGACUCCGAAUCCCUCUACACCUGGCGACCUGACCGCAUCCACUUAUUGAAGAUUCUUCAGUUCUCGUUUCCUGAUUGUUGGCACAAUAAAAACAUCAUUUCACUUAA